rnacentral:rRNA from 1 species
AAACUUUACAAUGCCGGCAACGGCGAUAAGGGGACCUCGAGUGCCAGGUUACAAAUCUGGCUGUCGUGAUGCCUAAAAAGCAUUGCAUAGCAAGGGCCGGGCAAGACCGGUGCCAGCCGCCGCGGUAACACCGGCGGCUCGAGUGGUAACCGUUAUUAUUGGGUCUAAAGGGUCUGUAGCCGGCCGGAUAAGUCUCUUGGGAAAUCCAGCAGCUCAACUGUUGGGCUUUCAGGAGAUACUGUCUGGCUCGAGGCCGGGAGAGGUGAGAGGUACUUCAGGGGUAGGGGUGAAAUCUUGUAAUCCUUGAAGGACCACCAGUGGCGAAGGCGUCUCACCAGAACGGACCUGACGGCAAGGGACGAAAGCUAGGGGCACGAACCGGAUUAGA